GACGAACGCUGGCGGCGUGCUUAACACAUGCAAGUCGAACGGAAAGGCCCUGCUUUUGUGGGGUGCUCGAGUGGCGAACGGGUGAGUAACACGUGAGUAACCUGCCCUUGACUUUGGGAUAACUUCAGGAAACUGGGGCUAAUACCGGAUAUGAGCUCCUGCUGCAUGGUGGGGGUUGGAAAGUUUCGGCGGUUGGGGAUGGACUCGCGGCUUAUCAGCCUGUUGGUGGGGUAGUGGCUUACCAAGGCUUUGACGGGUAGCCGGCCUGAGAGGGUGACCGGCCACAUUGGGACUGAGAUACGGCCAAUACUCCUACGGGAGGAAGAAGUGGGGAAUAUUGCACAAUGGGCGGAAGCCUGAUGCAGCAACGCCGCGUGCGGGAUGACGGCCUUCGGGUUGUAACCCGCUUUCGCCUGUGACGAAGCGUGAGUGACGGUAAUGGGUAAAGAAGCACCGGCUAACUACGUG
rnacentral:rRNA from 1 species